UAGCAAGGUUAACCGAAUAGGGGAGCCGGAGGGAAACCGAGUCUUAACCGGGCGUUAAGUUGCAGGGUAUAGACCCGAAACCCGGUGAUCUAGCCAUGGGCAGGUUGAAGGUUGGGUAACACUAACUGGAGGACCGAACCGACUAAUGUUGAAAAAUUAGCGGAUGACCUGUGGCUGGGGGUGAAAGGCCAAUCAAACCGGGAGAUAGCUGGUUCUCCCCGAAAGCUAUUUAGGUAGCGCCUCGUGAAUUCAUCUCCGGGGGUAGAGCACUGUUUCGGCUAGGGGGCCAUCCCGGCUUACCAACCCGAUGCAAACUGCGAAUACCGGAGAAUGUUAUCACGGGAGACACACGGCGGGUGCUAACGUCCGUCGUGAAGAGGGAAACAACCCAGACCGCCAGCUAAGGUCCCAAAGUCAUGGUUAAGUGGGAAACGAUGUGGGAAGGCCCAGACAGCCAGGAUGUUGGCUUAGAAGCAGCCAUCAUUUAAAGAAAGCGUAAUAGCUCACUGGUCGAGUCGGCCUGCGCGGAAGAUGUAACGGGGCUAAACCAUGCACCGAAGCUGCGGCAGCGACGCUUAUGCGUUGUUGGGUAGGGGAGCGUUCUGUAAGCCUGUGAAGGUGUGUCGUGAGGC
rnacentral:rRNA from 1 species